UUGAGCCGGAUGAAAGGAAACUUUCACGUCCGAUUUUGAAGGGGGGGAGAUCCUAUAGAUGAUCAUCGAUUAUGC
rnacentral:ncRNA from 1 species